rnacentral:rRNA from 1 species
CCUACGGGAGGCAGCAGUGAGGAAUAUUGGGCAAUGGGCGCGAGCCUGAACCAGCCAAGUAGCGUGAAGGAUGACUGCCCUACGGGUUGUAAACUUCUUUUAUAAGGGAAUAACGUGACGUACGUGUGCCGCUUUGCAUGUACUGUAUGAAUAAGGAUCGGCUAAUUCCGUGCCAGCAGCCGCGGUAAUACGGAGGGUCCGAGCGUUAUCCGGAUUUAUUGGGUUUAAAGGGAGCGUAGAUGGGUUGUUAAGUCAGUUGUGAAAGUUUGGGGCUCAACCGUGAAAUUGCAGUUGAUACUGGCAGUCGUGAGUACAGUGGAGGCAGGCGGAAUUCGUGGUGUAGCGGUGAAAUGCUUAGAUAUCACGAAGAACCCCGAUUGCGAAGGCAGCUUACUAAACUGCCACUGACAUUGAUGCUCGAAAGUGUGGGUAUCAAACAGGAUUAGAUACCCCAGUAGUC